rnacentral:lncRNA from 1 species
GCCCCUGUGUCCCAGUUUGAUGGCCCCAGCCACCAGAAGAAAGUGGUGUCAUGGAUAGAUGUUUAUGCACGUGCCACAUGCCAGCCCAGGGAGGUGGUGGUACCUCUGAGCAUGGAACUCAUGGGUAAUGUGGUCAAACAACUCGUGCCCAGCUGUGUGACUGUGCAGCGCUGUGGUGGCUGCUGUCCUGACGAUGGCCUGGAGUGUGUGCCCAUUGGGCAACACCAAGUCCGAAUGCAGGUACUGGGGCCUAUGGGUCAGGCAGGCUGAUGGGACAGUGAUGUCCUGGGGACUAGGUCAACCCAGAGACAGGUACCCAGGAGGUGGGAGGUUCUGGUCAUUCCUUCUCUAGCCCAUCUAGUAUCCCCUUUCUCUGUCUUUCUGCUGCCCCCCCCACCACUCACUGUCUCUUCCCCAUUCUCCUGAGUACAGAUCCUCAUGAUCCAGUACCCGAGCAGUCAGCUGGGGGAGAUGUCCCUGGAAGAACACAGCCAAUGUGAAUGCAGGUGCCAGCCAGGUCCAACCCUUAAGUUCACAAAGUGUAGCAUGGGGUGGGGGUAUCAGGCAUGGGACUGUACCUUACUUAGUAGGGAUUAGGUGACUGAGAGCAGAGCCAGAAGUAGGCAUGGAUUCUGGGGCAAGAGAGCAGGAGGUUUCUUUAAUCAAGCGCGCGUUCUCUCUCUCUCUGCCUCUCUCUCUCUCUCUCUCUCU